rnacentral:rRNA from 1 species
UACGAAGGGGGCUAGCGUUGCUCGGAAUUACUGGGCGUAAAGGGCGCGUAGGCGGCUUGGCCAGUCAGGCGUGAAAUUCCUGGGCUUAACCUGGGGACUGCGCUUGAUACUGCCAGGCUUGAGGCCGAGAGAGGGUGGUGGAAUUCCCAGUGUAGAGGUGAAAUUCGUAGAUAUUGGGAAGAACACCGGUGGCGAAGGCGGCCCACUGGCUCGUAUCUGACGCUCAGGCGCGACAGCGUGGGGAUCAAACAGG